rnacentral:ncRNA from 1 species
CCUCGAUAAAGGCAAACCGGUCGUAAGGCCGGGGCGCAAAGCUACGGGCCGGGUGGUCGCAUCCGGUCGCCGGGCUGCCGAA